rnacentral:lncRNA from 1 species
UGACCGAGUGGUGUGGGCCUGACCAGUUGCAGUCUACUUCGGUACGGUUCUCAGUUCUGCAAAUAGGGAACCGGUCUUGUAGGUCCGGUUCCCGGUUCUAGGUUGGGAACCGGACCGCCCGGGAACAAUCACCCUAAGGAUAAGCACCAGCAGAGGGAUGGGAAGGGGCCUGCUGUUGCGAAAGAGGCGGCUGGACCGCCCCCCAUGCACCGGGGAUGGGCCCGAAAUCCCCGCAAGGUCACCCGAUCCCACCGACCCCUUUAUCGCAGCCGCAGGACGCGCGCGAGAGAGAGAGAGAUAGCCCGGGCGGCGAGGGAGGCGAAAGCAUCCGAGGAGGGACUUGAUCAUGGGGUUUUUCUUGCGAGGGAUGAUGAGACCAUCUGUUCCGGUUGAGAUCUCGGGUGGAUCUAUCUUGGUGGUUCUCGGGUUGUUUCGUUGCUGUUGCCGGCGUUAGCGGCGGACUUUGAUUUGGCGAGGCGAAGAAGCGACGGUGGGUCUAGGCGGCGGAGGUUGAGCAGGGCAGCAACCCCGAUGGCCAUGGAUCUGCUCGACUCUGAUGUUUAUUUGAGAUUGGUUUGGAUGAUUGUGUUUUACCUUCUCUGCAGCUACCAUAAACAGAUCUGAGAGCGCGCAUCUCUCUCUCCGUCCCUCCCUCUCUCUCUCUCCCCCUCUCCAUACGCGACAAGCAUAAAGAGAAUGCGUUCGGCCAGGCGGCGGACGUGAAGCAGGCGAAGUCACGGCCUUCGUCAGCCUCGCCACUUGCCGGCGAGGACCAUGGCACUCUCCGCAGAUCUAGCGCUGCGGCCUUGCUGAACUCUCUCUCUCUCUAUAUAUAUGCGGUGCAGCGGCGGCGGCGGCGGCGGCGACGGCAGCAGCAACGAUGGGCCUAGACGAUGGCGAGGGUCGUUGGACCGUCAUCGGUAGAUGGACGGCCCUGCCACCGGCCAAGGGACCUCCUCCUUCCCUGGUCAGGUUUAGCCACCGACUCUCCCUCUUUAUUUGGGUUUUUUAUUAUUAUAAUUUUUUUAGGAUAAGAAGACCAGAAAACCCAAACUAUUUUACAUUUACCCUGAAUUUUUUUUUCUAGCAUAAGAAAACUCCAACUAUAUUAACUAUAAUACUUUUAUCCUAAAAUUUAAAACUGUUAUUGUGUGACGCAUUCACGCUCUAUCAAUAUUUAGUUAAAUGAAAGUCAUGUUCUUGAAAAUAGAUUUUUAAUAGUGUUUAUUGACCAAAUAUUGAUGUAGUGUAAAUAUGUCUUACAGUUAAAAAUUUAGAAUUUUAGGUUUAUGGAUACUUUUUUUAUCUUAAAUUUUUAUUGCGCGCCAGUAAUGUAUCAGAAGGGAAACGGCCAAAUGGGUCCUUCGCAUAUUUAAGGGAAGGGAAUGGAGCAGUUGAGGAUGCAAUUGGAUAAAAGAAAAUUUUGUGUGAUUGAAUAAAUUAAAGAAGCUCACCAACUACGGACCACUUAAUUCUUUUAUUUAUUAAUUUUUGCAUGACCAUUACCCAACACUGUUGACCAAUUGCCGUCCUAAAGCAGUUGUCCCCGCCUUUGAAUUUGACAUAAAUUUUCAGUUACAUUGAUUCAUUCUCGAGGGGUAGAUUUCCAUGAAGCUACCAGGAGCAACGGAGGAAGACGACGGACACUUUCGAUGAUCUUCCCAUUGUCCUUUUCCUAGUCAUUUUCCAAUCUCAAAGUCUUGUUAUUUCCAUUUUCCUAGGAUCUAUCAGUCAAUUAUAUAUAUUUUCUUGCAUUCGCAGUCCUCUGUUUUUUAUGCGUUCCGAGAACAUCUGUUGACAAGACUUAUAAACUCGGAUCUUUGGUCUCGGAUCUUUGGUCAAUCACAAUCCGAGAUUGAAACGUGGAAGGUCCUUAGCAUCACAACAUCAACGGACGUGAAAAGGAAGGAUAGAAAAAAAAAAUAUUAUAAUAACAUCAUUAGCAAUGCUUCAAUAAUUAGGCGAUGGUCCACAACAAUACGAGUUUGCCCUAUUCAAAGGAUUUUGUUGAUAAGGGUCUCCAUAAUUUAUCUUUUCUCAUGUCGUAUUUUGAAAAUUGUACAAUCUCUUAAUAAGUAUGUUUAAUCUCGUUAAUAAAAAAAAUGUUUAGGUAUACUAAGGGUGUGUUCAGUAACAACAAUUAGUACUAAAAUUUAGAAGGAAUGAUUUGCUUAGUUAAUUCAAAAGAAGAUAUUUAGUGAGAAUUAGAGUUGUAUCAAUUAUAUUGCUAAAACUUAUUUUAAUCUCCCUAGCUAUUCAUAGUUAAACCACCAUUUAAUUCUACUCAGGUACUAAAGUUGUGGACAUAUUUAGGGAUUAAAUAUGUAGCACCCAUUUUACAAUUUUAUUGAAUGAGCCUUUGGAGGCUAAGAUCGAUUAUUGUUUGAUAAGAUAAAUUUUAGUUGGAUAUUAAAUGUGAUCUACUUGUUCAAACGUUCAAUAAUAGUUGGCCUUAUCAUCGAUUUAAUAGCUUAUGGCAAACGCUAAUGAAUAAUAAUUUGCCUUAAAUGAUAAGAAUAAUUUACACAUAUUUCUAUAUAAAGAAUAACACAUGCUUUAUAAGAUGAUUAAGAUAAAGAUAAUAUCAAUUAUAAUCUAUAUAAGAUAUGCACAAUUCAUAUAGGGAAAAAUGACACAAAUAAUCUAUGAAUUUUAAUUUAAUGUGCAAUGUGGUCU